rnacentral:tRNA from 1 species
CGGAGUGUGGCGCAGUUGGCUAGCGCAUACGCCUGGGGGGCGUGGGGUCGCAGGUUCGAGUCCUGUCACUCCGA